GAUGAACGCUGGCGGCGUGCUUAACACAUGCAAGUCGAACGGAAAGGCUCCUGCUUGCAGGGGUACUCGAGUGGCGAACGGGUGAGUAACACGUGGGUGAUCUGCCCUGCACUUCGGGAUAAGCCUGGGAAACUGGGUCUAAUACCGGAUAGGACCACAUUUUGGAUGGUGUGGUGGAAAGUUUUUCGGUGUGGGAUGAGCUCGCGGCCUAUCAGCUUGUUGGUGGGGUAAUGGCCUACCAAGGCGUCGACGGGUAGCCGGCCUGAGAGGGUGUACGGCCACAUUGGGACUGAGAUACGGCCCAGACUCCUACGGGAGGCAGCAGUGGGGAAUAUUGCACAAUGGGCGCAAGCCUGAUGGAGCGACGCCGCGUGGGGGAUGACGGCCUUCGGGUUGUAAACUCCUUUCGCUAGGGACGAAGCGUUUUUGUGACGGUACCUGGAGAAGAAGCACCGGCUAACUACGUG
rnacentral:rRNA from 1 species